rnacentral:rRNA from 1 species
CAGGAUGACUGCCCUAUGGGUUGUAAACUGCUUUUAUAUAGGAAGAAAAACUUUCUCGUGAGAAAGCUUGACGGUACUAUAAGAAUAAGGAUCGGCUAACUCCGUGCCAGCAGCCGCGGUAAUACGGAGGAUCCAAGCGUUAUCCGGAAUUAUUGGGUUUAAAGGGUCCGCAGGCUGUUUGUUAAGUCAGAGGUGAAAUCCUGCCGCUCAACGGUAGAACUGCCUUUGAUACUGAUAAACUUGAGUUAUUGUGAAGUAAUUAGAAUGUGUAGUGUAGCGGUGAAAUGCAUAGAUAUUACACAGAAUACCGAUUGCGAAAGCAGAUUACUAACAAUAUACUGACGCUGAGGGACGAAAGCGUAGGUAGCGAACAGGAUUAGAUACCCUGGUAGUCUACGCCGUAAACGAUGGUCACUAGCUGUUUGAUAUACAUUGGUAUGUUGAGUGGCUAAGCGAAAGUGAUAAGUGACCCACCUGGGGAGUACGCUCGCAAGAGUGAAACUCAAAGGAAUUGACGGGGGCCCGCACAAGCGGUGGAGCAUGUGGUUUAAUUCGAUGAUACGCGAGGAACCUUACCAGGACUUAAAUGUAAGUUGCAUGAUUCAGAAAUGAAUCUUUCUUCGGACUACUUACAUGGUGCUGCAUGGUUGUCGUCAGCUCGUGCCGUGAGGUGUCAGGUUAAGUCCUAUAACGAGCGCAACCCCUAUCGUUAGUUGCCAGCAAGUAAAGUUGGGAACUCUAGCGAAACUGCCGGUGCAAACCGUGAGGAAGGUGGGGAUGACGUCAAAUCAUCACGGCCCUUACGUUCUGGGCUACACACGUGCAACAAUGGCCGGUACAGAAAGCAGCCACUUUGCGAAAAGGAGCUAAUCUUCAAAGCCGGUCUCAGUUCGGAUCGCAGUCUGCAACUCGACUGCGUGAAGCUGGAAUCGCUAGUAAUCGGAUAUCAGCCAUGGUCCGGUGAAUACGUUCCCGGGCCUUGUACACACCGCCCGUCAAGCCAUGGAAGCUGGGGGUACCUAAAGUCGGUGACCGAAAGGAGCUGCCUAGGGUAAAACUAGUAACUGGGGCUAAGUCGUAACAAGGUAACC